rnacentral:tRNA from 1 species
UCUAAUAUGGCAGAUUAGUGCAAUGGUCUUAAGAUCCAUCUAUAAAGAUUUUUUUUCUCUUUUUAGAA